UGGGGAAUAUUGCACAAUGGGCGCAAGCCUGAUGCAGCCAUGCCGCGUGUAUGAAGAAGGCCUUCGGGUUGUAAAGUACUUUCAGCGGGGAGGAAGGUGUUGAGGCUAAUAACCUCAGCAAUUGACGUUACCCGCAGAAGAAGCACCGGCUAACUCCGUGCCAGCAGCCGCGGUAAUACGGAGGGUGCAAGCGUUAAUCUGAAUUACUGGGCGUAAAGCGCACGCAGGCGGUCUGUCAAGUCGGAUGUGAAAUCCCCGGGCUCAACCUGGGAACUGCAUUCGAAACUGGCAGGCUAGAGUCUUGUAGAGGGGGGUAGAAUUCCAGGUGUAGCGGUGAAAUGCGUAGAGAUCUGGAGGAAUACCGGUGGCGAAGGCGGCCCCCUGGACAAAGACUGACGCUCAGGUGCGAAAGCGUGGGGAGCAAACA
rnacentral:rRNA from 1 species